AAUACGGCGACGUUUUUAGCGUUCUCUGUGUUGGGUGGAUUGGAAUUUUAAGCUAUUUUUAAAAACCAUUAGUUUCUCCGUUUUAAAUUAUUUAUCGUUGAUUUUCUUCCCACGACUUAAUUUUUAAUUUUAUUACUGUUUAAUCAUUGAAAUUUUAUAAUGUUAACGGUUUAUUCAUUUAAUUUAAAAAAACAGAUAAACCUAUAGAAAAGAUUGUGUUAGAAUCAUGCGACAAAUAUAUGGUUUGGCCUAGUUAAAGAAAUUGAUUUAACUAUAGAGUUUUAAUUUUGCUUUUAUAAAUUUGUUUUCUUCAGUAGAUCACCCAACAAGUUAUAGAUAUACACAGUAUUUUUGUUAUGAUCUGCAUGUAGUGCCAUGUACUAUAAGGAUGCUGACACCAAUCAAAAGGAUUUUGGCAUCUUAAAGCAGCAUUAUCGCUGACUCUUAGCCUAACCCUUUCCCCCAAACCCAAUUAAAAAACAAUUAACAAAACACAUAAGUCCAAAACUCACUUCUUGUGGAGGUGCCGAAGGCCCGCCUCUUAGUGCAGGUGUCAACAAAUGAGAGGACGAAGCAAUCAGUUACGCGUCUCUCUCGAUCAUCUCUCUCUCUCUCUUUCUCGAUCAUCUCUCUCGACGAAAGGUGAUUUCGUCUCCUUCGGUGUCUCUCAUCAGCGACGUCUUCGUCGGUAUCUCUCAUCGGCGACGUCUCCUUCGGUGGCUCUUGUCGGCGACCUCUCCCUCGGUGGUUCUCCUGGAGGCGACAGAGCUCUCUCUCGGUGGCUCUUUCGAAAUCGAAAGUUUGUUGGUUCUGUCUCUCGGUGGUUCUUCUCCUCGAAGCUUUUCCUCAGUGACUCAAAUCGAAGCUCUCACCUCAAAUCGAAAGAUAGAAGGAUCAAAGUUCAUUGAGCAAAGGUUCAUCUAGCUCAGGAGUUCACUGCAAAAUAAGGGGAACAAGUCACACACGACCAGCAAUGGAAGCAAGAAAGUCGAUUGUUUGUUGUCUCUCAGCGAGAGGUAUGAUACCACAACCUCUUCCACAAGAAGACACGGAUGAUGAUGUUGCGGAUGUCACACCAAGUGAAGUAGAAGUAGUGGAGAUAUCAGAUGAAGAAGAAGCUGAUAUGGUGGAGUUAUCAAGCGAAGAAUACAUGAGAAAUGUGGGCUAUUUGACUAGGGUGGGGGAAUCGAAAGAUGACCUUGAACCUGAGUUCAGAAGGCUGCUGCAAAGGAUGCAUGAGGAAGAGAAGAAGCUGAGAGAGGAGAAUUUCAAAGCCAUGAAGUCGGGAAUCAAGCUAGAAGAAGGACAAUCCUCUAAGGUUGAUGGUAAGAAGAGGAAGAGAAGAAGUUGAGAGAGGAGGUCAUGGACUGUGGUGUUGUGUCACAGGUCAUGUGUGUUUGUGUUUUGUCUUUGUGUUCUUUGUGUUCUAGUGUCACGAAUGUUUAUAGUCAGGUCACAAGACAUGUAUGUUUGUAUGUUUUCUCUUUGUGUUAUUGUGUCACGGAUGCUAUGUCAGGUCACAAGACUUAUGUAGACAUGUUUAAUAAUUUGUCUUCUAUGUUUGUAUUA